UACGGAGGGAGCUAGCGUUGUUCGGAAUUACUGGGCGUAAAGCGCACGUAGGCGGCGACACAAGUCAGAGGUGAAAGCCCGGGGCUCAACCCCGGAACUGCCUUUGAAACUAGGUUGCUAGAAUCUUGGAGAGGUCAGUGGAAUUCCGAGUGUAGAGGUGAAAUUCGUAGAUAUUCGGAAGAACACCAGUGGCGAAGGCGACUGACUGGACAAGUAUUGACGCUGAGGUGCGAAAGCGUGGGGAGCAAACAGGAUUAGAUACCCUAGUAGU
rnacentral:rRNA from 1 species